ACCGCUAGCUCACAGUCACACCAUGCAUGAUGACGUGUCUUUUCCAGGCUGCAUGCCUGGCCUCUCGCCGUCUCGGUUUGGAAUCUGCAAUGGAGAGCUUUGGUCGACUUUCUCUCUCCGUAUCUCUAUCUCUCUGAGAGAGACUGAUGUGUUGCUCAUAUGCAGAGUCUUUCCUAUGCCCCUGAUCUGAGACGGCUGUGAGAAAUAGACGAAGCCGCGCUGCGGAUAGGUGCGCCCCGGUGGCCGGGCUGAGCAAAUCAGCUUAGCGGUCGGACGGACGACUGCUUGCGCAAAAAUUGCAAUUGCGGCGGCAAUGCGAAGAGACACCGGAACUUCGAAAGGCAAUUGGCAUUCCCAGUGCGUGUAGCUGAGUAUGAUGUACAAGGCCUGUCCUGAGAGAGUUGUGUUUGUCAACACAUCCUACUGCUCUCCAUGUGGACGUAGUGCGGAGGCAAGUCUGGAGCUGGGCUUACAUGCCAUUCACGACUCGGAAAGCCUUGAGUCAUCGGAUUCGGCGGCCAUUGCCGGCAAGGGAGGAGGAGGGCAGGCAACAGCAAGCCAGCAAGAAGCAAGCCGCCAAGAAAAUUCGUGCCAAGAAAAUUCUAAAAAUAAGCCAUCCCUAUCCCCGACCACCAUCCCCUACCAGAUUGAUUACUUAUAUAGGUGACCUAGUCUUGCUCUGAACACUUUGACACCUGUGCUGAUUGGUCAACUGCCCUCGGCCAAUCAGAGUCGGGUAUAGAGCUCGCACAAGACAUUUCGCACCUAGAGUGGGCAGCUAGUGCAGUGAUAAACUUCGACUCUGAUUGGCUUGUGGCAUUUGAGCAAUCAUGCACAACCCCUCCCCUAAUGUAUAUCCCUGGGGAAUUCCCCUGCACACAUCACCCCAGUCCUCACAUGAUAUGCAGUGAUGACAUCACUGUAGUUAGCAUGGAAUACCGCAGUGAUGAUGA